AGUGAACGCUGGCGGUAGGCCUAACACAUGCAAGUCGAACGGCAGCACAGUAAGAGCUUGCUCUUACGGGUGGCGAGUGGCGGACGGGUGAGGAAUACAUCGGAAUCUACUUUUUCGUGGGGGAUAACGUAGGGAAACUUACGCUAAUACCGCAUACGACCUACGGGUGAAAGCAGGGGAUCUUCGGACCUUGCGCGAUUGAAUGAGCCGAUGUCGGAUUAGCUAGUUGGCGGGGUUAAGGCCCACCAAGGCGACGGUCCGUAGCUGGUCUGAGAGGAUGAUCAGCCACACUGGAACUGAGACACGGUCCAGACUCCUACGGGAGGCAGCAGUGGGGAAUAUUGGACAAUGGGCGCAAGCCUGAUCCAGCCAUACCGCGUGGGUGAAGAAGGCCUUCGUGUUGUAAAGCCCUUUUGUUGGGAAAGAAAAGCAGCAGGUUAAUACCCCGCUGUUCUGAGGGUACCCAAAGAAUAAGCACCGGCUAACUUCGUG
rnacentral:rRNA from 1 species